GAGGGAUCAUUACACAAAUAUGAAGGCGGGCUGGAACCUCUCGGGGUUACAGCCUUGCUGAAUUAUUCACCCUUGUCUUUUGCGUACUUCUUGUUUCCUUGGUGGGUUCGCCCACCACUAGGACAAACAUAAACCUUUUGUAAUUGCAAUCAGCGUCAGUAACAAAUUAAUAAUUACAACUUUCAACAACGGAUCUCUUGGUUCUGGCAUCGAUGAAGAACGCAGCGAAAUGCGAUAAGUAGUGUGAAUUGCAGAAUUCAGUGAAUCAUCGAAUCUUUGAACGCACAUUGCGCCCUUUGGUAUUCCAAAGGGCAUGCCUGUUCGAGCGUCAUUUGUACCCUCAAGCUUUGCUUGGUGUUGGGCGUCUUGUCUCUAGCUUUGCUGGAGACUCGCCUUAAAGUAAUUGGCAGCCGGCCUACUGGUUUCGGAGCGCAGCACAAGUCGCACUCUCUAUCAGCAAAGGUCUAGCAUCCAUUAAGCCUUUUUUCAACUUUUGACCUCGGAUCAGGUAGGGAUACCCGC
rnacentral:rRNA from 1 species